rnacentral:misc_RNA from 1 species
UACGGAGGGUGCAAGUGUUAAUCGGAAUUACUGGGCGUAAAGCGCACGCAGGCGGUCUGUCAAGGCGGAUGUGAAAUCCCCGGGCUCAACCUGGGAACUGCAUCCGAAACUGGUAGGCUAAAGUCUUGUAGAGGGGGUAAGAAUUCCAGGUGUAGCGGUGAAAUGCGUAGAGAUCUGGAGGAGUACCGGUGGCGAAGGCGGCCCCCUGGACAAAGACUGACGCUCAGGCGCGAAAGCGUGGGGAGCAAACAGG